AUAUCAAUAAGCGGAGGAAAAGAAACCAACAGGGAUUGCCUCAGUAACGGCGAGUGAAGCGGCAACAGCUCAAAUUUGAAAUCUGGCCCGUCUCCGGGUCCGAGUUGUAAUUUGUAGAGGAUGCUUCGGGCAAGGCUGCGGUCCAAGUUCUUUGGAACAGGACAUCAUAGAGGGUGAGAAUCCCGUCUCUAACCGUAAGCCGCGUCCAUGUGAAGCUCCUUCGACGAGUCGGGUUGUUUGGGAAUGCAGCUCAAAAUGGGUGGUAAAUUUCAUCUAAAGCUAAAUAUUGGCCAGAGACCGAUAGCGCACAAGUAGAGUGAUCGAAAGAUGAAAAGCACUUUGAAAAGAGAGUUAAACAGCAUGUGAAAUUGUUGAAAGGGAAGCGCUUGCAGCCAGACUUGUGGGCGGCGAUUCAGCCGUUCUUCUGAACGGUGCACUUUGCCGUCUCCAGGCCAGCAUCGGUUUGGGCAGCCAGUGAAAGGCCCGGGGAAUGUACCAACCCUCCGGGGUUGACUUAUAGCCCCGGGUGCCAUGUGGCUCGCCUAGACCGAGGAACGCGCUCUGCACGGAUGCUGGCGUAAUGGCUGUAAGCGACCCGUCUUGAAACACGGACCAAGGAGUCUAACAUCUAUGCGAGUGUUCGGGUGCCAAACCCUUGCGCGUAAUGAAAGUGAACGGAGGUAGGAACCCUUUGGGGUGCACUAUCGACCGAUCCUGAUGUUCUCGGAUGGAUUUGAGUAAGAGCAUAGCUGUUGGGACCCGAAAGAUGGUGAACUAUGCGUGUAUAGGGUGAAGCCAGAGGAAACUCUGGUGGAGGCUCGCAGCGGUUCUGACGUGCAAAUCGAUCGUCAAAUACGCGUAUAGGGGCGAAAGACUAAUCGAACCAUUGGACAGUCCACCCAAACCAGGUGGUUCGUUGUAGGGGGUAUCCCUCUCCCUAUCUAGCCUGUGCUGAGAUCACAGGUUACACCGUUAGUAUAGCGGGAACUCUCAACCGAGAUCCGCAGCAGUACCUUCUAGGACUGUUCACAGACUAUAGAAUGGUGGUCAGAUGGGAACGUUCCCGCUGAUGAAAAGAUAGCCGGACGACGCUCCUCGGGGUAUCCCCCGUCGAGCUCGAUAAUCGCUGGUAGCUGGUUCCUGC
rnacentral:rRNA from 1 species